rnacentral:rRNA from 1 species
UACGGGGGUGGCAAGCGUUGUUCGGAAUUACUGGGCGUAAAGGGUGCGUAGGCGGGGAGGUAAGUCGGGUGUGAAAUCCCUCGGCUCAACCGAGGAACUGCGCCCGAGACUGCCUUUCUUGAGUCCCGGAGAGGAAGGUGGAAUUCCCGGUGUAGCGGUGAAAUGUGUAGAGAUCGGGAGGAACACCGGUGGCGAAGGCGGCCUUCUGGACGGUGACUGACGCUGAGGCGCGAAAGUGUGGGGAGCAAACGGG